UACGUAGGUGGCGAGCGUUAUCCGGAAUGAUUGGGCGUAAAGGGUGCGUAGGUGGCAGAACAAGUCUGGAGUAAAAGGUAUGGGCUCAACCCGUACUGGCUCUGGAAACUGUUCAGCUAGAGAACAGAAGAGGACGGCGGAACUCCAUGUGUAGCGGUAAAAUGCGUAGAUAUAUGGAAGAACACCGGUGGCGAAGGCGGCCGUCUGGUCUGUUGCUGACACUGAAGCACGAAAGCGUGGGGAGCAAAUAGGAUUAGAUACCCUAGUAGUCCACGCCGUAAACGAUGAGAACUAGGUGUUGGGGGAAUAACUCAGUGCCGCAGUUAACGCAAUAAGUUCUCCGCCUGGGGAGUAUGCACGCAAGUGUGAA
rnacentral:rRNA from 1 species